GUCUCCAGCUCUCACGAUUUAAACCAAACUAUGCAUAUACAGAAGUGUUUGACAUGAUCCUUGUAAUUGUAUAAACUCUCGAAUCCAUUAUAUUGACUUUAUUUUCUUCUCCAACAAUGUAUACUUUGUCUUUGCACUUAACCUUGUCAUCUUCAUCCAUCCAUAUGUUACUCUUACAACACAUGACGACUUUGUUCUCCUGGUCUAGCAAGCAACUUAUGUCAAUAUGUCAUGCCAGGAUUCAGCGCCGAGAUACAAUGCUAAGACCUUGUUCCACG